UGGAGGUAUGGCUAAGGCAGAGAUCGGACUCUUCCUUAACCAUACCACUUCAUACAAUCAGUUUUAAUAGGCUUAGUGUGGUCAGCUGACACUCACUGCCAAUCACCACCGCCCAUUGCUGCUCAGGAUGAUUCCCCCUCUUUAGCCUGCACAGCAGAGGGAGGCCAGGCUGCUGGAGACACAAGUUAAUGGUCUGAGUCUCAGGAGGUUAAAGCUGAAUGGAAGUACAGGCACU